AUGACGAUCUUAUGUUGGAACUGCUGGAGACUUGGGCAAUCCCGGACAGUUCAGGAACUUGUGUGCUUAGUGCACACGUACAAGCCAAAAUUGGUUUUCCUCUCUGAAACCCGGCAAAGCAACUCCUACGUGAAUAAAUUGAAGUGGAGGCUAGGCCUCAAACACUGUAUCACGCAGCCUGGCACCGGAAAAGGUGCGGGCAUUGCACUCUUCUAUGAUGAAAGUAUUGAAGUAAUAAAGCUUGUCGUUGGCCCUAGGUAUAUCGAUGUCCUUGUGUGUUUAAAUUCUACUAGACUACAAUGGCGAGGUACUUUUGUCAAUGGGGAACCAAAGUCGCAUGAAAGACAUAAUAUGUGGAACCUUCUGUGGAGAAUUAAGGAUGUCUCAAAAGUUCCUUGGCUGAUGAUGGGUGAUUUUAACAAAGCUAUGUGGCAAACAGAGCACAUCUCAGCUUCCAAAAGUUCAGAAAGGCUUAUGCAGAACUUUAGGGAAGUCCUCUCAGAGUGCAAUCUCUUUGACCUUGGGUUCAGAGGCCCAGUUUGGACAUACAAUAACAAAGGGGCAGAAGAAUGUCCGCGCGAGAUUAGACAGAGGUGUGGCCUCGCCGGAGUGGUCCCAUUAUUUUCAUGGGGCAACGGUCGAGCACAUAUGCUCACCCCGGUCCAAUCAUCUACCCCUACUGCUGCGUUUUGGGAAGAGAAAAGAAUGGAGGCCUGUAAGGGAAGCAAACCGGAAAGUUUUCCGUUAUGA
rnacentral:rRNA from 1 species